GUGUUAAUUGGGGUCUGUCCCUGAACUGCCAGCUGGAGAGGGAAGAGGGGUGGACUGCAACCUUUGGUGCGUUGAGAUAGCUUCCACCUAAAUUAGCAGAAAGACAAGAAAUUAGACACUUGUUUACAAUACAUCAAAAAUUAGAUAAUAAUGAUAAAAUUAUUUAAAAAAAAAUAUAUUACGAUUCAGUAUCAACAUAUAAAAGGACAUUUCAGGUUUAUUUCACAACAUCUUUAGAAUACAGGACCUGUUAGAUAUUUCAGGUUUAUUUCAACAACUUUGAUCUGUAAGGGGAGGAUUUUUUAGGGGUGUCUAUAUUAUGGUGUAAUAUUUGGGUGUCAUAUUGAGAUAAUCUUAUUUCUAAAAAAAUACUAACACAAGGUUUCCCGGCUACCCAUAUCUCCACAUUCAUUGGAGCCUUUUAUUUGCUCAC
rnacentral:lncRNA from 1 species